UACGGGGGGGGCAAGCGUUGUUCGGAAUUACUGGGCGUAAAGGGCUCGUAGGCGGCCAACUAAGUCGGACGUGAAAUCCCCAGGCUUAACUUGGGAACUGCGUCCGAUACUGGAUGGCUUGAAUCCGGGAGAGGGAUGCGGAAUUCCAGGUGUAGCGGGGAAAUGCGUAGAUAUCUGGAGGAACACCGGUGGCGAAGGCGGCAUCCUGGACCGGUAUUGACGCUGAGUGAGCGAAAGCCAGGGGAGCAAACGGG
rnacentral:rRNA from 1 species